GACGAACGCUGGCGGCGUGCUUAACACAUGCAAGUCGAACGGAAAGGCCAUGCUUUUGUGGGGUGCUCGAGUGGCGAACGGGUGUGUAACACGUGAGUAACCUGCCCUUGACUUUGGGAUAACUUCAGGAAACUGGGGCUAAUACCGGAUAGGAGCUCCUGCUGCAUGGUGGGGGUUGGAAAGUUUCGGCGGUUGGGGAUGGACUCGCGGCUUAUCAGCUUGUUGGUGGGGUAGUGGCUUACCAAGGCUUUGACGGGUAGCCGGCCUGAGAGGGUGACCGGCCACAGUGGGACGGGGAUACGGCCCAGACUGCUACGGGGGGCAGCAGUGGGGAAUAGUGCACAAUGGGCGGAAGCCUGAUGCAGCAACGCCGCGUGCGGGAUGACGGCCGUCGGGUUGUAAACCGCUUUCGCCUGUGACGAAGCGUGAGUGACGGUAAUGGGUAAAGAAGCACCGGCUAACUACGUG
rnacentral:rRNA from 1 species